CCUACGGGUGGCAGCAGUCGAGAAUCAUUCACAAUGGGGGAAACCCUGAUGGUGCGACGCCGCGUGGGGGAAUGAAGGUCUUCGGAUUGUAAACCCCUGUCAUGUGGGAGCAAAUUAAAAAGAUAGUCCCACAAGAGGAAGAGACGGCUAACUCUGUGCCAGCAGCCGCGGUAAUACAGAGGUCUCAAGCGUUGUUCGGAAUCACUGGGCGUAAAGCGUUCGUAGGCUGUUUCGUAAGUCGUGUGUGAAAGGCGCGGGCUCAACCCGCGGACGGCACAUGAUACUGCGAGACUAGAGUAAUGGAGGGGGAACCGGAAUUCUCGGUGUAGCAGUGAAAGGCGUAGAUAUCGAGAGGAACACUCGUGGCGAAGGCGGGUUCCUGGACAUUAACUGACGCUGAGGCACGAAGGCCAGGGGAGCGAAAGGGAUUAGAUACCCCUGUAGUC
rnacentral:rRNA from 1 species